ACUCCUACGGGAGGCAGCAGUGGGGAAUAUUGCACAAUGGGCGCAAGCCUGAUGCAGCCAUGCCGCGUGUGUGAAGAAGGCCUUCGGGUUGUAAAGCACUUUCAGUCGUGAGGAAGGUGGUGUAGUUAAUAGCUGCAUUAUUUGACGUUAGCGACAGAAGAAGCCGACCGGCUAACUCCGUGCCAGCAGCCGCGGUAAUACGGAGGGUGCGAGCGUUAAUCGGAAUUACUGGGCGUAAAGCGCAUGCAGGUGGUUUGUUAAGUCAGAUGUGAAAGCCCGGGGCUCAACCUCGGAAUUGCAUUUGAAACUGGCAGACUAGAGUACUGUAGAGGGGGGUAGAAUUUCAGGUGUAGCGGUGAAAUGCGUAGAGAUCUG
rnacentral:rRNA from 1 species